ensembl:lncRNA
GUGAGGAAGGCUUAGUCAUAAUUGUUGCUAAGGGAUAUGCAUGUAAACAUUCUCUGUUGUAAGCUUCUAUUUCAAUUUAUGACUUGAUUUUAUGUGUGAACUUGUGAUAAGCUUUUAAAUAUGUGAUCAUGUACUCUGAAAGGUGUUUUUAGUGUUGAGGACAAAGAGAAGAGAGAGAAUGGAGCUGAGGAGAAGUUUUUAGACACAACUCUUUUUAGACAGAACUUAACUCAAGAGGAACUGAAAAGUAUAGGCAUAGCAUUUGGGGAAAAGGCCUUGAGAAUAAGAGCAUUAUUGUGACAUCAGAGCAAGAGGAGAGAGCAAGACUAGAAAAAGAAUGUAGAGUGGAAUAACAGAAACCAUAGGUUAAAUAAAAAACUAAGAGAACAAUGUUCAGAAUGCAGAGGGAAAUAGGAAAAAAGAAGAAGCUGCAGAGAGGAGAAGGAGUAGCUAGGCUUCACCUUACCAUGGGACAGAACACAGGUCUUUUCCUAAUAACAAGGCAGACUUAGUCUUAUUAAAGGAAUGAAGCUUUCUUCUUACAACCUUGAAUUUAGUUCAUUUAGCAUUAAAAGGGUAGAAGUUUUUUCUUUCUCCAUGCAAUAAAGAUUUAGCUCAUAUUUUUAUCCAGAAUGAGUGAGUUCUUUCUGCACUGGGGCUUGGUCUUUUGCUCCAUAUGCAUAUGUAAGAAUGGAUAUGUGUGUAUAAGUGUGUAAUUGUGAGAAUGGAUGCAAGUUGAGCACAACUUGUGCGAAUGGAAAUGAAUAAAUGCUCAUAUGUAAAUCUGUGUAUAUGAGUUUAUGCAUAUUUGCCUAUGUAAAAGUUUUUCCUUCUGCAAUUGCUAUUCUCUUCUCUUGAUUCAAUAGAAGUUUAUUGCUCCAAACUUCCCCUUAGCCUGAAAAGCAAGAAGGAUCUGGACAAAAGGGAAAAGGUGCUAGCAAAUUAUCCUUUACUGUAUCUCCUGCUGUUUUAGAAUGAAGUGCUAAGUGCCAGAGACUGCGGUUUCUGGCCUCACAGGACUACAGAAAACAGGACAGCUACAGUACCAUUAUAACAGACUUAAGUAAAUUUUUAUUUUUAUACAGGGAACCUAAAUAUUUCCUAAAACAAAGUCUUACACUCCUUUGACACUCUUACCCCUUCACUGCCUCAAAAAGAACCGACAAGAGGGAAGACCCCACUAGGCCAGGCCUAUAGCAGGAAUCAUGGGGGACAGGCCUGGAUGAAACCUCAUUUCUGGCUUUGCAUUUUCUACUCUGGAUUUUUCAUUAUGGAAAUAAUGAUACUCAUAAAUUCUUGUAUAGUUUAACUAAAUAUAAUCAGGAUUUUAUGUUCCCCUGAACUGAGAUUUAAGUGUCUUUUGUAAUAAUAGUGAUAUUCUAUUUUAAUGUCUGGAAGUUCUUUCUUUUCAAAAACAUAGUCUGAGUGGCUGAGAGGGAGGAGAGAGUACAGGUGACAUUCAAGAUCAGGCUGCAUGUCUUUCAAUCUGAGACAUCCUGGCACAAGCAGAUAUGUCCAUGCUAUGAGGAGUUUGAACCUCUAUUGAGGAGCCUUGUCACUGUCUCCUUCAUGUCCUUGUUCCUCAGGCUGUAAAUGAAGGGGUUCAGCAUGGGGGUAACCACAGUAAACAUAAUGGUGGCUACUGUAUCCUGGGUGAAGGAGUCUGGAGGUCGUAUGUAGAUCCCCAGAACUGUCCCAUAGAACAAAAUGACCACGGUUAAGUGGGAGCUACACGUGGAAAAUGCCUUGUGCCUGCCCUUGGCAGAAGGUAUCUGAAAGACUGCCACAGCGAUUUGGACGUAAACUUCAUGAGCAGAUAAGCAUCACAGUAGAAGUGAGAGACCUCUGGAAUCGAGGAGCAGAAGACACGUGGCUAGCCAAGAGCCUGGGGAUGAUAUUGGUGGUGAAGCAGAUGUCAUCAAAGGAAAUGUUGGUGAGGAAGAAGUACAUGGGGGUGUGUAAGCGCGGGUCAGAGCUGAUGGCCAUGAAGAUGAGUGUGUUACCAGCCACCGUGACCAAGUACAUGCACAGGAAAGCCCAGAAGAGGAUUCGUUGCUG